UUCCAGACUCCUACGGGAGGCAGCAGUGAGGAAUAUUGGUCAAUGGGCGGAAGCCUGAACCAGCCAAGUCGCGUGAGGGAAUAAGGCCCUACGGGUCGUAAACCUCUUUUGCCGGGGAGCAAGGGCGGGGACGUGUCCCGGCCCGGAGAGUACCCGGAGAAAAAGCAUCGGCUAACUCCGUGCCAGCAGCCGCGGUAAUACGUAGGGGGCAAGCGUUAUCCGGAUUUACUGGGUGUAAAGGGAGCGUAGACGGCAGUGCAAGUCUGAAGUGAAAGGCGGGGGCCCAACCCCCGAACUGCUUUGGAAACUGUGCUGCUGGAGUGCAGGAGAGGCAAGUGGAAUUCCUAGUGUAGCGGUGAAAUGCGUAGAUAUUAGGAGGAACACCAGUGGCGAAGGCGGCUUGCUGGACUGUAACUGACGUUGAGGCUCGAAAGCGUGGGGAGCAAACGGGAUUAGAUACCCCCGUAU
rnacentral:rRNA from 1 species